GCGCGCCGUACGCGAUGAAAGUUGCCCAUACGGUGCAAACAGGGGGAAAAGGGGGCGAUAACUUCAAACCCUUAUCUAUCUGUAU
rnacentral:autocatalytically_spliced_intron from 1 species